AUUGAACGCUGGCGGCAUGCCUUACACAUGCCAGUCGAACGGUAACGGGCCUUCGGGUGCCGACGAGUGGCGAACGGGUGAGUAAUACAUCGGAACGUGCCCGAUCGUGGGGGAUAACGAGGCGAAAGCUUUGCUAAUACCGCAUACGAUCUACGGAUGAAAGCAGGGGACCGCAAGGCCUUGCGCGGACGGAGCGGCCGAUGGCAGAUUAGGUAGUUGGUGGGAUAAAAGCUUACCGAGCCGACGAUCUGUAGCUGGUCUGAGAGGAUGAUCAGCCACACUGGGACUGAGACACGGCCCAGACUCCUACGGGAGGCAGCAGUGGGGAAUUUUGGACAAUGGGCGCAAGCCUGAUCCAGCCAUGCCGCGUGCAGGAUGAAGGCCUUCGGGUUGUAAACUGCUUUUGUACGGAACGAAAAGCCUUCUUUUAAUACAGGAGGGUCAUGACGGUACCGUAAGAAUAAGCACCGGCUAACUACGUG
rnacentral:rRNA from 1 species